UGCAAGUCGAACGGAGUAUUAAGAGAGCUUGCUCUUUUAAUACUUAGUGGCGCACGGGUGAGUAAUGUAUAGUUAAUCUGCCCUACACUGGAGGACAACAGUUAGAAAUGACUGCUAAUACUCCAUACUCCUUCUUAACAUAAGUUAAGUCGGGAAAGUUUUUCGGUGUAGGAUGAGACUAUAUUGUAUCAGCUAGUUGGUGAGGUAAUGGCUCACCAAGGCUUUGACGCAUAACUGGUCUGAGAGGAUGAUCAGUCACACUGGAACUGAGACACGGUCCNNACUCCUACGGGAGGCAGCAGUAGGGAAUAUUGCUCAAUGGGGGAAACCCUGAAGCAGCAACGCCGCGUGGAGGAUGACACUUUUCGGAGCGUAAACUCCCUUUGUUAGGGAAGAA
rnacentral:rRNA from 1 species